rnacentral:precursor_RNA from 1 species
AAGACAUGAGAUUUGGGGGACCCGGGACAGAGUAAUAUGAUUUGGCUCUGUACCUCUCCCAAAACUCAUGUGGA